AAACUUGUCAGCAGAUGUUCCAAGGAUGCAGUCUGCUUCCACCCUCAUGAUAUGAUGGGGUGUGGUGCUUCAAAACUUGGCUACUCUAUACCUGGGAAGAGUGAAUCAACUUUAAUUAGGUACCUAAGGAUAAAACUGGCCUGAAGGGAAAAUCUGGGGGAAACUGGGAAGCUUGACUGUUCUUGCACCUGACCCUCUCAGCUGUCAGAUGCGGUGAUCUCCAUGGUAACUCAAACCCCCAGACUCUUGACAGCAGCCUGCGAGGAGCAGCAUUCAGCAGCUCAAGGGUCUCACGACCAGGUAAGCCAAAAGUAAUCACCAAACAAGAGAUUUCUCUGCGUCCACUGUUUCCUAUCCAACUGCCUUUCAGGUUUUUCCUUGGUGAAGCCACGCAUGCUGUUAGUCCCUGCGCAUAUAUGUGACGAUGUACUCCUACCAGUGCUGUCAUUUAAGGCUACGGCAGUCCAGCUCUUUCAAACAGAGGCGUUUGACAAAAAGUCUACAUUUAUUCAGGGUCGCUUUUUAAGCUACAGAUUGAAGAGCCACAAUGCAGCGAAGCAAAGAAGUACUGUACAAUUCUUUAAGUGGUUUUGGUGUUAAGUAAUUGCUAUGGUAGGAAAUAACCCCCAAACACACCUGUCUUACCACUGUACCUACACCACUGUCAGUACUGCCCGGGUGCUAACAUUAGGCUUGGGCUCUCUCACCCUCCUGGAAUGGACCAGAGACAGUUUCUGUGUUCACGUAACAUUCAUUGGUACCCUGCAGCCUUUUCAAAUUGCUGCUGUGCUCUUCUCACAUGACUUUCUAAAUCCCUCAUUGUGCUAAUAACAGCACGUGGAGCAUUCUGGUUAACAUCAUAAGGAGGUACAGAAUUCUUCCCCUUUUUGGUGAGUUAUGGAGAAAACAUGAAGAAAAACCAAGUCUUUGAGGGCUAUACAACUGUGUUCACUAUUCCAGUAUCACUAAAGCUGUGAACAAAAGUAGUAUCUCUGGUCUUACACACUUACAUGUGUGGGCGUUUUAUUACCCCUUUUGUCAUAAGGUUUCACUGGCAUUUGUAUGGAAUUGUUUCUUUACCAUGAAGAUUGUAUUUAUUUUGUAAGUCCUUGGUUUCUGUGCACUGAUUUCUGGAUAUUACCCUCAUUCUUUCCGUCUGGCUACAUAAGUCCAUUUGGCUGUAAUACACCGUCCCCAUCAUACAAACCAAUCCAUAUUACUCUGAAUAACCGCUCUGCUAACUUUAUUAACCAUUCUGACAUUUUUUGUGCCAUAACUGCUGCUGUCAACGGUAUUUACUUUUGUAUCAUUGAUUAUACUCUUAGAUAAUGUUGAGCUAGUACCGGAUGAUUUUAUUGGAGUAAUGUAGAGCGCUCUUCUUCAAUUAUUAUUUCCUGUUAACAGCUACUAUUUUAUACCUAUAUCUUAAUUUGGUGAUAUUGAUAAUAAUUUCUUACUCUGAAUGUUGUGUGGCUGUAAGCUAAAUGCUCU